UACGUAGGGUGCAAGCGUUGUCCGGAAUUAUUGGGCGUAAAGAGCUCGUAGGCGGUUUGUCGCGUCUGGUGUGAAAACUCAAGGCUCAACCUUGAGCUUGCAUCGGGUACGGGCAGACUAGAGUGCGGUAGGGGAGACUGGAAUUCCUGGUGUAGCGGUGGAAUGCGCAGAUAUCAGGAGGAACACCGAUGGCGAAGGCAGGUCUCUGGGCCGCAACUGACGCUGAGGAGCGAAAGCAUGGGGAGCGAACAGG
rnacentral:rRNA from 1 species